AGUGAACGCUGGCGGUAGGCCUAACACAUGCAAGUCGAACGGCAGCACAGUAAGAGCUUGCUCUUACGGGUGGCGAGUGGCGGACGGGUGAGGAAUACAUCGGAAUCUACUUUUUCGUGGGGGAUAACGUAGGGAAACUUACGCUAAUACCGCAUACGACCUACGGGUGAAAUCAGGAGAUCUUCGGACCUUGCGCGAUUGAAUGAGCUGAUGUCGGAUUAGCUAGUUGGCGGGGUAAAGGCCCACCAAGGCGACGAUCCGUAGCUGGUCUGAGAGGAUGAUCAGCCACACUGGAACUGAGACACGGUCCAGACUCCUACGGGAGGCAGCAGUGGGGAAUAUUGGACAAUGGGCGCAAGCCUGAUCCAGCCAUACCGCGUGGGUGAAGAAGGCCUUCGGGUUGUAAAGCCCUUUUGUUGGGAAAGAAAAGCAGCAGGUUAAUACCCCGCUGUUCUGACGGUACCCAAAGAAUAAGCACCGGCUAACUUCGUG
rnacentral:rRNA from 1 species